CGAAUCCUUUAGAGAUAGAGGAGUGCCUUCGGGAACGCUGAGACAGGUGCUGCAUGGCUGUCGUCAGCUCGUGUUGUGAAAUGUUGGGUUAAGUCCCGCAACGAGCGCAACCCUUUAUCCUUUGUUGCCAGCACGUCAUGGUGGGAACUCAGGGGAGACUGCCGGUGAUAAACCGGAGGAAGGUGGGGAUGACGUCAAGUCAUCAUGGCCCUUACGAGUAGGGCUACACACGUGCUACAAUGGCAGAUACAAAGAGAAGCGACCUCGCGAGAGCAAGCGGAACUCAUAAAGUCUGUCGUAGUCCGGAUUGGAGUCUGCAACUCGACUCCAUGAAGUCGGAAUCGCUAGUAAUCGUAGAUCAGAAUGCUACGGUGAAUACGUUCCCGGGCCUUGUACACACCGCCCGUCACACCAUGGGAGUGGGUUGCAAAAGAAGUAGGUAGCUUAACCUUCGGGAGGGCGCUUACCACUUUGUGAUUCAUGACUGGGGUGAAGUCGUAACAAGGUAGGCGUAGCGAG
rnacentral:rRNA from 1 species